CCAGUCUGGUAGUUUUAAGAAGCGAAUUCUUACAUCCGCCCUAUUCGAAUCGGCGGGGCAGUGGAGCGCCAGAGAGCCCAAGGUCUCCCAGGCGAGCAUGGCAGGACUGGAGGGCUCCCGGCAGGGCGCCUCGGCGUCCAUCGGGACCCCGACGGAGGUGCCGGAGAUCUUUCGGCUACAACGCCGGGCAGGUGGGGCUCGUUAGCCGUGGUAGGCAAUCUGCCUAGGAGAGCAAACUCCGAACAACAAACCAGGGCAGGUGAGGUUCGUUAGCCGUGGUAGGCAAUUCACCUACUAAAAAAGUAGGAGAGCAAACUCCGAACAAUAAACCCGGGCAGGUUGGGCUCGUGAGCCGUCAUAGGUAAUACACCUAGGAGAGCAAACUCCGAUCAUAAAACCCGGGCAGGUUGGGCUCGUGAGCCGUCAUAGGUAAUACACCUAGGAGAGCAAACUCCGAACAAUAAACCCGGGCAGGUGGAGCUCGUUAGCCGUGGUAGGCAGUCUGCCUAGGAGAGCAAACUCCGAACAAUAAACCCGGGCAGGUGGAGCUCGUCAGCCGUGGUAGGCAGUCUGCCUAGGAGAGCAAACUCCGAACAAUAAACCCGGGCAGGUGGAGCUCGUCAGCCGUGGUAGGCAGUCUGCCUAGGAGAGCAAACUUCGAACAAUAAACCCGGGCAGGUGGAGCUCGUCAGCCGUGGUAGGCAGUCUGCCUAGGAGAGCAAACUCCGAACAAUAAACCCGGGCAGGUGGAGCUCGUCAGCCGUGGUAGGCAGUCUGCCUAGGAGAGCAAACUCCGAACAAUAAACCCGGGCAGGUGGAGCUCGUCAGCCGUGGUAGGCAGUCUGCCUAGGAGAGCAAACUCCGAACAAUAAACCCGGGCAGGUGGAGCUCGUCAGCCGUGGUAGGCAGUCUGCCUAGGAGAGCAAACUCCGAACAAUAAACCGGGGCUUGUGGUGCUCGUUAGAUGUCGUAGACAAUCCACGUGAUGGGAACACCAGAAAAAGGAAAAUAAAAAGGAACACCAGAAAAAGGAAAAUAUAGUAACAAAACAUCAAGAAAAUAAAAUAAAAAACACAGAUCAUCCACCUUCAGGCCCUAACAUCUCCAAAAUUAUGGGUGAGUCUUUUCUGGGGAGAAAGAGGCUCAUCCAGACCAAAGAACAUCAAAAAGGGAUGAUAUAGAAAGGAACACCAAAAAAAUGGGAAAAAGAAAAAAACAUCGCAAAAGAAAAGUAACAACAAUAACAGAACAACGUCAAGAAAAGUAACAUACAAAGAAACAUCAUCCACCAUUCGGCCCCAAACUAACAUCACCAAAAUUAUGGGUGGGUCUUUUCUGGGGAGAAAGAGGCUCAUCCAGACCAAAGAACAUCAAAGAGGGAUGAUAUAGAAAAGAACACCAAAAAAUAGGGGAAAAAAGAGCAAAAAAACAUCGCAAAAGAAAAGUAACAGCAAUAACAGAACAACAUCAAGAAAAGUAACAUACAAAGAAACAUCAUCCACCAUUCGGCCCCAAACUAACAUCACCAAAAUUAUGGGUGGGUCUCUUCUGGGAGGAAAGCGGCUCACCCAGACCAACGAAGAACAUCAACAAGAGGAU